rnacentral:rRNA from 1 species
ACUCAAAGGAAUAGACGGGGGCCCGCACAAGCGGUGGAGCAUGUGGAUUAAUUCGAGGCAACGCGAAGAACCUUACCAAGGCUUGACAUGGAGACGAAACCGACAGAAAUGCCGGCCUCCCUUCGGGGACGUCUCACACAGGUGGUGCAUGGUUGUCGUCAGCUCGUGUCGUGAGAUGUUGGGUUAAGUCCCGCAACGAGCGCAACCCUUAUGUUCAGUUGCCACCGGGUAACGCCGGGCACACUGGAGAGACUGCCGUGGACAACACGGAGGAAGGUGGGGACGACGUCAAAUCAUCAUGCCCCUUACGUCUUGGGCUUCACACGUGCUACAAUGGCUCAAACAAAGUGAUGCAAAGCAGCGAUGCGGAGCGGAUCACGAAAAGGAGUCCCAGUUCGGAUUGCAGGCUGCAACUCGCCUGCAUGAAGUUGGAAUCGCUAGUAAUCGCGAAUCAGCAUGUCGCGGUGAAUACGUUCCCGGGCCUUGUACACACCGCCCGU